AGUGAACGCUGGCGGUAGGCCUAACACAUGCGAGUCGAACGGCAGCACAGUAAGAGCUUGCUCUUACGGGUGGCGAGUGGCGGACGGGUGAUGAAUACAUCGGAAUCUACUUUUUCGUGGGGGAUAACGUAGGGAAACUUACGCUAAUACCGCAUACGACCUACGGGUGAAAGCAGGGGAUCUUCGGACCUUGCGCGAUUGAAUGAGCCGAUGUCGGAUUAGCUAGUUGGCGGGGUAAAGGCCCACCAAGGCGACGAUCCGUAGCUGGUCUGAGAGGAUGAUCAGCCACACUGGAACUGAGACACGGUCCAGACUCCUACGGGAGGCAGCAGUGGGGAAUAUUGGACAAUGGGCGCAAGCCUGAUCCAGCCAUACCGCGUGGGUGAAGAAGGCCUUCGGGUUGUAAAGCCCUUUUGUUGGGAAAGAAAAGCAGCAGGUUAAUACCCCGCUGUUCUGACGGUACCCAAAGAAUAAGCACCGGCUAACUUCGUG
rnacentral:rRNA from 1 species